rnacentral:rRNA from 1 species
GAUGAACGCUGGCGGCGUGCCUAAUACAUGCAAGUCGUACGGAAAGGCCCUUCGGGGUACUCGAGUGGCGGACGGCUGAGUAACGCGUGGGAACGUGCCCCAAAGUGAGGGAUAACGCACCGAAAGGUGUGCUAAUACCGCAUAUGGUCUUCGGAUUAAAGCUUCGGCGCUUUGGGAGCGGCCAGCGUACGAUUAGAUAGUUGGUGAGGUAAUGGCUCACCAAGUCGACGAUCGUUAGCUGGUCUGAGAGGAUGAUCAGCCAGACUGGGUCUGAGACACGGCCCAGACUCUUACGGGAGGCAGCAGUAAGGAAUCUUCCACAAUGGGGGCAACCCUGAUGGAGCAACGCCGCGUGCAGGAUGAAGGUUUUCGGAUCGUAAACUGCUUUUAUAAGUGAAGAAUAUGACGGUAACUUAUGAAUAAGAAUCGGCUAACUACGUGCCAGCAGCCGCCGUAA